rnacentral:rRNA from 1 species
GAUGAACGCUGGCGGCGUGCUUAACACAUGCAAGUCGAACGAUGAAGCCCAGCUUGCUGGGUGGAUUAGUGGCGAACGGGUGAGUAACACGUGAGUAACCUGCCCUUAACUCUGGGAUAAGCCUGGGAAACUGGGUCUAAUACCGGAUAGGAGCGUCCACCGCAUGGUGGGUGUUGGAAAGAUUUAUCGGUUUUGGAUGGACUCGCGGCCUAUCAGCUUGUUGGUGAGGUAAUGGCUCACCAAGGCGACGACGGGUAGCCGGCCUGAGAGGGUGACCGGCCACACUGGGACUGAGACACGGCCCAGACUCCUACGGGAGGCAGCCGUGGGGAAUAUUGCACAAUGGGCGCAAGCCUGAUGCAGCGACGCCGCGUGAGGGAUGACGGCCUUCGGGUUGUAAACCUCUUUCAGUAGGGAAGAAGCGAAAGUGACGGUACCUGCAGAAGAAGCACCGGCUAACUACGUG